UCCGGUUUGGCACCGGCAGUCUCUCCAGAGUCCCCGGCUCAGCCUUUCGGCCUCUCCGCUGGCAACUGAAGACGGGGGUUGCGCUCGUUGCGGGACUUAACCCAACAUCUCACGACACGAGCUGACGACAGCCAUGCAGCACCUGUCCCGCGGCCCCGAAGGGGGCGCUCCCUUUCAGGAGCGUUUCCACGAGAUGUCAAGCCCAGGUAAGGUUCUUCGCGUUGCGUCGAAUUAAACCACAUGCUCCACCGCUUGUGCGGGCCCCCGUCAAUUCCUUUGAGUUUCAGCCUUGCGGCCGUACUCCCCAGGCGGGGCACUUAAUGCGUUAGCGCCGGCACUCGGAGGGUCGCUCCCCCGAGCACCUAGUGCCCAUCGUUUACGGCGUGGACUAC
rnacentral:misc_RNA from 1 species